GUCCCAUCCCCGCGCGCCGUGGCUGCGGGGCGGUGAGCGGGGAUACCUGCACGCACAAAGGACCGGGAGGGUGUUCCUGCCGCCCCGGAGCCGCCGCACGCCCAGCGGGCAGCGAUGCCCGGGGAAUGCCGGAGGGCGCCCCGUGCCCGUCCCCACGCCCACACGCGGAGUGUCACGGAGGGGUCGCCAGGCCUGCAGAAGCGCCCGCGAGGCGCUGCCGUCACGCCCCCUCCGCCACGGAGCUGGAGCGGAGCGGCGCAGGGGGUGGGACGGGACCGGCGGCGGGCACCUCCCGCGGAGCGCCGGGCCCCGCACCGGGCACGGCGCUGAGUAACCGCUGCCACCCGUCCCAAAUUCCCCGGCGCGGAUUGAGGCGGAGGUGUUGCCCUUAUCGGGUUUUUACCCUCCGACCUCUCUCCUGCGUUUCGCUACCUGCCGCUCACGCAUGCCGCGGUCCCACCGAGACGCCUGAUCCCGGGGAGAGGCUGCGAACGGGGGUCCCGGCCCGUCCCCUCCUGGUCCCCAGAGAGCGGGAGGGGCCGCGGAAGGAAGAACCGGUGCGCAGCCGGCAGGCAGGUACCGGCCCUGGGGGGAAGGUGCUGCCGUGCUUCUGCCAGUCCGCCCCGCUGAGCAGGGCCCCCCCUCUCCGGGGCUCUUCCGAGGGUUUAAGGUGCUCUUCGGAUAUUGCUGUUUGAUCUCAUGCGCCCCUCCCUCUGCCCUGCCAUGAUCAGUAAUGAAGAGAAGCAGGGCAGCGAGGUCAGGCGCUGUGCAGCACCCCUGCAGGCCUCGUGGCAUCAACCCCCGUCCAAUAUUCAGGCUCCAUGAGGCCAGGCAUGCGUCACGGGACGCGAGGUGGCAGCGCUGAGCCUCUUCUGCCAGACGUAGGACAACGCGGAGCCAGCGAGCUCGCGGUUAUUUUUUUUUAUUAUUUUUUUUAUUUUUUUUAUUUUUUCCCCCCUGUGGUUUUACGGAGCAACAUAACGCUGCAAGUUUCUGACUGAAAUUCGGUGGGUUUGCAUCAAAGAGCGGCAAUGCCCACGCAGUCAGCUGUACGCCGCCGGAACAUCAUGCGAGUGAUGCCAAAUCCCGAUGCGGGGGUUAAGGGCAGUGGCACUGAGAGCACCCUUCUCACACACCGGGUCCUGCAGCUCGCCUUGCGCAUGGAGCAAGAGAGAUUGUUCAGGAACAAUACGCAUGACAAAUCUACUGCAGGACUGGGCGCCGCAAGCAUUGAUUCCAGCAUUCCUAUCCCUGGAAGCGUUCAAGACGGGGUUGGAUGGGGCCCGGAGCAACACGAUCUAGUGGGUGGUACCCUGCCCAUGGCCGGAGGGUUGGAACUAGGUGAUCUUUAAGGUCCCCUUCGAUCCAAACCGUUCUAUGAAUCUAUGAUUUGUGAUUGAUUGCAGGUGCUCUGUGUGAAUAAGCACGCAGUCCCCACCGGUUAAAACGUCUUAAGGACACGCAGAUUUAGCACCGCUCUUCCCCCCCCGCCCUCCCCCCCUUCUGUUUUAAACUGAGGAUUACCAGCGCACAGGCUCCUUUAACUGCAGCCCUUGCCGUUGGUCUUUUCCACACCCCCAGCUUCGUAGGCUGUGGGAAAUGCUUUGCAGCCUGCUCCGUCUGAGCUCUCGGGAGCAGACCUCCCUUCCCGUGAGCGUGUUCCUGCGUGCCCUCGUCGGCGCGGAGCGCUUCCCUGCCCUGGCGCAGCGUAGCCAGGAGCCCCCGCAGCUGCUGCGGCCGCCUCUUACUCCUUGCAGCCUCCCCAUUCCUGCAGCUCCCGGCCCGGCGAGCUCGAGUUCAUUAACGCGCACGUCAAUUCCACGCUGUGGCCCCAGCAGGAGCCUCCGCCGCGCUGCGCAGCCCCCGGGGAUGCGUGGAGCCGCGCGGUGGGCGCUUGGCGGGCGG